rnacentral:rRNA from 1 species
GUGAGGAAUCUUGCGCAAUGGGGGAAACCCUGACGCAGCAACGCCGCGUGAGUGAGGAAGGUCUUCGGAUCGUAAAGCUCUGUCAGUUGGAAAGAAAUGUCUGAGAGUCAAUCCCUUUCAGGCUUGACGGUACCAACAGAGGAAGCACCGGCUAACUCCGUGCCAGCAGCCGCGGUAAUACGGGGGGUGCAAGCGUUGUUCGGAAUUAUUGGGCGUAAAGAGCGUGUAGGCGGCCGGAUAUGUCAGAUGUGAAAGCCCCGGGCUUAACCCGGGAAGUGCAUUUGAAACUGUCCGGCUCGAGUAGGGGAGAGGGAAGUGGAAUUCCUGGUGUAGAGGUGAAAUUCGUAGAUAUCAGGAGGAACACCGGUGGCGAAGGCGACUUCCUGGCCCUAUACUGACGCUGAGACGCGAGAGCGUGGGUAGCAAACAGGAUUAGAUACCCCUGUAGUCC